AUGGGAAAGGAAAAGACUCACAUCAACAUUGUCAUCAUUGGCCACGUAGAUUCGGGCAAGUCUACCACUGCUGGUCAUCUGAUCUACAAAUGUGGUGGGAUCGACAAAAGAACUAUGGAAAAUUGGAGGAGGCUGCUGAGAUGGGAAAAGGCUCCUUCAAGUGUGCUUGGGUCUUGGAUAAACUGAAAGCUGAACGUGAAUGUAGUAUCACCAUUGAUAUCUCCCUGUGGAAAUUUGAGGCCAGCAAGUAUUAUGUGACCAUCAUUGAUGCCCCAGGAGACAGAGACUUUAUAAAAAACAUGAUUCUAGGCACAUCUCAGGCUGACUGUGCUGUCCUGAUUGUGGCUGCUGGUGUUGGUGAAUUUGAAGCCAGUAUCUCCAAAAAUGGGCAGACCCAUGAGCAUGCCCUUCUGAGCCACCCUACAGCCAGAAGAGAUAUCAUUAAGGAAAUCGUUAAGGAAAUCAGCACCCAUAUUAAGAAAAUUGGCUACAACCCUGAGACAGUAGCAUUUGUACCAAUUUCUGGUUGGAACGGUGACAACAUGCUGGAGUCAAGUGCUAACAUGCCUUGGUUCAAGGGAUGGAAAGUCACCCAUAAAGAUGGGAAUGCCAGUGGAACCACACUGCUUGAAGCUCUGGAUCGCAUUCUGCCACCAACUCAUCCAACUGACAAGGCCUUGCAUCUGCCUCUCCAGGACGUCUACAAAAUUGGUGGUAUUGGUACUGUCCCUGUGGGCCAAGUGGAGACUAGUGUUCUUAAACCUGACAUGGUAGUCACCUCUGCUCCAGUUGAUGUUAAAUGUUAAAACUGAAGUAAAGUCUGUUGAAAUGCACCAUGAAGCUUUGAGUGAGGCUCUUCCUGGGGACAAUGUGGGCUUCAAUGUCAAGAACGUAUCUGUCAAAGAUGUUCAUUAUCCUGAACCAUCGAGGCCAAAUCAGUGCUGGAUAUGUACCUGUGAUGGAUUGUCACACAGCUCACAUUGCUUGCAAGUUUGCUGAGCUGAAGGAGAAAAUUGAUUGUUAUUCUGGAAAAAAGCUGGAAGAUGGUCCCAAGUUCUUGAAAUCUGGUGAUGCUGCCAUCGUUGAUAGGGUUCCUGGCAAGCCUAUGUGUGUUGAGAGCUUCUCUGUCUAUCCUCCUCUGGGCUGUUUUGCUGUUCGUGACAGAGACAGACGCUUGCUGUGGGUGUCAUCAAAGGAGUGGACAAGAAGGCAGCUAGAGCAGACAAGGUCACUAAGUCUGCCCAGAAAGCUCAGAAGGCUAAAUGAAUAUUAUCCCCAAUACCUGCCACCCCAGUCUUAAUCAGUGGUGGAAGAAUGGUCUCAGAACUGUUUGUGUCAAUUGGCCAUUUAAGUUUAAUAGUAAAAGACUGGUUAAUGAUAACAAUGCAUCGUAAAACCUUCAGAAGGAAAGGAGACUGUUUUGUGGACCAU